rnacentral:rRNA from 1 species
AUUGAACGCUGGCGGCAGGCCUAACACAUGCAAGUCGAAUGGUAACAGGAAACAGCUUGCUGUUUCGCUGACGAGUGGCGGACGGGUGAGUAAUGUCUGGGAAACUGCCUGAUGGAGGGGGAUAACUACUGGAAACGGUAGCUAAUGCCGCAUAACGUCGCAAGACCAAAGAGGGGGACCUUCGGGCCUCUUGCCAUCAGAUGUGCCCAGAUGGGAUUAGCUAGUAGGUGGGGUAACGGCUCACCUAGGCGACGAUCCCUAGCUGGUCUGAGAGGAUGACCAGCCACACUGGAACUGAGACACGGUCCAGACUCCUACGGGAGGCAGCAGUGGGGAAUAUCGCACAAUGGGCGCAAGCCUGAUGCAGCCAUGCCGCGUGUAUGAAGAAGGCCUUCGGGUUGUAAAGUACUUUCAGCGGGGAGGAAGGGAGUAAAGUUAAUACCUUUGCUCAUUGACGUUACCCGCAGAAGAAGCACCGGCUAACUCCGUG